UGGCGGCGUGCCUAACACAUGCAAGUCGAACGGGAAAGCGGGGGCAACCCUGUGAGUACAGUGGCGUACGGGUGAGUAACACGUGACUACCUACCCUCGAGUGGGGGAUAACCCCGGGAAACCGGGGCUAAUACCGCAUAACAUCGCAAGAUCAAAGGAGCAAUUCGCUUGAGGAAGGGGUCGCGGCUGAUUAGCUAGUUGGUGAGGUAACGGCCCACCAAGGCGAUGAUCGGUAGCCGGCCUGAGAGGGCGCACGGCCACACUGGAACUGAAACACGGUCCAGACUCCUACGGGAGGCAGCAGUGGGGAAUUUUGCGCAAUGGGGGAAACCCUGACGCAGCAACGCCGCGUGGAGGAUGAAGUCCCUUGGGACGUAAACUCCUGUCGACCCGGACGAUAAUGACGGUACGGGUGGAAGAAGCACCGGCUAACUUCGUGCCAGCAGCCGCGGUAAUACGAGGGGUGCGAGCGUUGUUCGGAAUUAUUGGGCGUAAAGGGCGCGUAUGCGGUGCGGUAAGUCACCUGUGAAAUCUC
rnacentral:rRNA from 1 species